UACGGGGGGGGCAAGCGUUGUUCGGAAUUACUGGGCGUAAAGGGUGCGUAGGCGGCUCGCUAAGUUAGAUGUGAAAACUCUGGGCUCAACCCAGAGCCUGCAUCUAAAACUGGCGGGCUAGAGUUCUGGAGGGGGUAGCGGAAUUCCUGGUGUAGCGGUGAAAUGCGCAGAUAUCAGGAGGAACACCAAUUGCGAAGGCAGCUCGCUGGGACGUAACUGACGCUGAGACGCGAAAGCGUGGGGAGCAAACAGG
rnacentral:rRNA from 1 species